rfam:Pseudobacteroides cellulosolvens ATCC 35603 = DSM 2933 ctg1, whole genome shotgun sequence.
AAAAUAAAGAAGAAGUUAUCCGCUUCUCACCUUACGGAUAUUAUUUGUAAGGUUAAUAGUGAAAGUUAAUCGGUAAGUCUAACUUAGCUAAAAGAGCGGAUCCAUUAUGAUCUGCUUUUAUUUGUUUUG